rnacentral:rRNA from 1 species
GACGAACGCUGGCGGCGUGCCUAAUACAUGCAAGUAGAACGCACAGUUUAUACCGUAGCUUGCUACACCAUAGACUGUGAGUUGCGAACGGGUGAGUCACGCGUAGGUAACCUGCCUGGUAGCGGGGGAUAACUAUUGGAAACGAUAGCUAAUACCGCAUAAUAUUAAUUAUUGCAUGAUAAUUAAUUGAAAGGUGCAAUUGCACCACUACCAGAUGGACCUGCGUUGUAUUAGCUAGUAGGUGAGGUAACGGCUCACCUAGGCGACGAUACAUAGCCGACCUGAGAGGGUGAUCGGCCACACUGGGACUGAGACACGGCCCAGACUCCUACGGGAGGCAGCAGUAGGGAAUCUUCGGCAAUGGACGAAAGUCUGACCGAGCAACGCCGCGGGAGUGAAGAAGGUUUUCGGAUCGUAAAGCUCUGUUGUAAGAGAAGAACGGGUGUGAGAGUGGAAAGUUCACACUGUGACGGUAUCUUACCAGAAAGGGACGGCUAACUACGUG